AUGUAUUGAAGGCCAACUGUGACUGAAUAUCCAUUUUUAGAAUAUCUCCAGAGAAUUAAUUUAAUGAAUAUUGAAGACUGUGUUGUUAUUGCCAUAACUGUUGACAGCGAAUGGAAAAUGGGGAAGGAUAGUUGAGUAAUUAUAAGCCGAAGGAAGGAAGUGGCUUUAUGACACAGAUUCGUCAAGAUGGAAAUUCUAAUUACAGCUUUAUGAAUCGUAAACCCCAAAGUUACGGUGGCAUGAAAGUCGCUACUUAACGCUACCUGCUAUGAGAACACCCAAGGCAAAGUGGUACUAUACUACAAUCAUGCCUGGCAAACCUAACUUUAUGACAGUCAAACUUUGUGGAUUUCUUAGCUGAGAGAAAUGGCCUGCUAU